rnacentral:rRNA from 1 species
UGUUUUGUGCGGUAAAGCGAAUGAUUAGCGUAUUUGGGGACAUUUAGUCUUCAGACGAUUCUCAAACUUUCAAUGCGCAAGGGUGUUGCUGCUUAAUUGAGCUUCACCGGUAAAAACGUCGGCCCUGUGGGCCACUUUUGGUAAGCAGAACUGGCGAUACGGGAUGAACCGUAAGCAUGGUUAAGGCGCCAAACUACUCGCUUAUAGAUCCCACAAAAGGUGUUGAUUCAUCGAGACAGCAGGACGGUGGCCAUGGAAGUCGGAAUCCGCCAAGGAGUGUGUAACAACUCACCUGCCGAAUGAAUUAGCCCUGAAAAUGGAUGGCGCUUAAGCGGGUGGCCGACACCAUGCCGUCUGAAUGAUAAAUUUCAGAUGAGUAGGAGGACGUGGUGAUCGUGACGAAGUAUGCGUGCGAACGCGUAUCGAACGAUCACUAGUGCAGAUCUUGGUGGUAGUAGCAAAUAUUCAAGCGAGAUCCUUGAAGGGCGAAGUGGGGAAGGGUUCCACGCUAACAUUGAUUGGGCGUGGGUGAGUCGUUCCUAAGCCGAGUGGCAAUUGCUAAGUAACGGCGAAAGGGAAGCGGGUUUACAUUCCCGCACACGGAUGUGGAGGCGGUGACGCUUUAUUGGGGCGAACACGCUGGCGAUGGCGCUGGGCAGAGUUGUCUUUUCUGUUUGACCGUUUGCGCAUGCGGUGUGGAGUCCGCUUGUCGGGAGAAACACGCAUGCGCGGGCAGAGCGCCGGGGCUUAUCCGGCGUCCAGCUCGCCAUCGACGGCCCUUGAAACUUUGCCUGCUGAUUUUAGAAUCCACGCCGUGGCGUACCGAUCACCGCAUCAGGUCCCCAAGGUGAACAGCCUCUGCUCAAUAUGAAAAAUGCAGGUAAGGGAAGUCGGCAAAUUAGACCCGUAACUUUGGGAAAAGGGUUGGCUCUAGUGCUGCGUGGGAGUGGUUGUCAAGUUGUGGCGCUCUUGAAGGUACUUAUUUGCGCGAUAUUUCGGUAUUGUACAACCGGCACCAUUGAUUGUGCUGCUCUUGACGACGCCCACAGCAUGCAGCAAACUAGAACUGCAACGGGCAAAGGGAAUCCGACUGUUUAAUUAAAACAAAGCAUUGCGAGGGCCGUGGCCGGUGAU